AUUGAACGCUGGCGGCAGGCCUAACACAUGCAAGUCGAGCGGAUGAAGGGAGCUUGCUCCUGGAUUCAGCGGCGGACGGGUGAGUAAUGCCUAGGAAUCUGCCUGGUAGUGGGGGAUAACGUCCGGAAACGGGCGCUAAUACCGCAUACGUCCUGAGGGAGAAAGUGGGGGAUCUUCGGACCUCACGCUAUCAGAUGAGCCUAGGUCGGAUUAGCUAGUUGGUGGGGUAAAGGCCUACCAAGGCGACGAUCUGUAACUGGUCUGAGAGGAUGAUCAGUCACACUGGAACUGAGACACGGUCCAGACUCCUACGGGAGGCAGCAGUGGGGAAUAUUGGACAAUGGGCGAAGGCCUGAUCCAGCCAUGCCGCGUGUGUGAAGAAGGUCUUCGGAUUGUAAAGCACUUUAAGUUGGGAGGAAGGGCAGUAAGUUAAUACCUUGCUGUUUUGACGUUACCAACAGAAUAAGCACCGGCUAACUUCGUG
rnacentral:rRNA from 1 species